rfam:Camelus ferus unplaced genomic scaffold scaffold2499, whole genome shotgun sequence.
GAGGGUAUAGCUAAGUGUUAGAGUGCAUGCUUAGCAUGCAAGAGGUCCAGGGUUCAAUACCUAGUACCUCUG